rnacentral:rRNA from 1 species
UACGGAGGAAAAGAAACCAACAGGGAAUGCCUCAGUAACGGCGAGUGAAGCGGCAAAAGCUCAAAUUUGAAAUCCCCCGAAGGAAUUGUAAUUUGAGGGACCUAUUAAAACCCUGAGAGAGCCCAAAGUCCAUUGGAAAAUGGCGCCAUAGAAGGUGAUAGCCCUGUGUGUUACAUGACCUCUCUCAGCAUACUUUUUAGGCCCAAAGAGUCGAGUUGUUUGGGAAUGCAGCUCUAAGUGGGUGGUAAAUUCCAUCUAAAGCUAAAUAUUGGCGAGAGACCGAUAGCGAACAAGUACAGUGAUGGAAAGAUGAAAAGCACUUUGAAAAGAGAGUGAAAAAGUACGUGAAAUUGUUGAAAGGGAAGGGCAUAUUGCAAGCAGACAUGCAACCUCGAGAGUUGGCGCCAGCUCCAAUCGGGUGCGGGUCAUUCAGGGAAACAAUUUGAAAAGGUGUGGAAUGUGGCUCUUACGAGUGUUUCUCAUAGCCCCACCCAAUAUUUCCAUCCCAUCCCGAGGCCGAGCUGGUGCGAUUCUUCAAGGAUGCUGGCGUAAUGGUAUGCCCAAGUCGCCCUAGUCUUGAACGAAACCAGUUGUUCUAUAACGGUUCAAGUUAGUACAUUCCAAUUCGGUUCCAUUUGGAACCGUAAGGGAACUGUACCGACCAUGAUGCUAAAUGUCAACUACUGC